rnacentral:rRNA from 1 species
GAUGAACGCUAGCGGCAGGCUUAACACAUGCAAGUCGAGGGGUAUUGGUUUUCGGACCAAGAGACCGGCGCACGGGUGCGUAACGCGUAUGCAAUCUACCUUUUGCAGAGGGAUAGCCCAGAGAAAUUUGGAUUAAUACCUCAUAGUAUAGUACUUUGGCAUCAAGGAACUAUUAAAGUCACAACGGCAAAAGAUGAGCAUGCGUCCCAUUAGCUAGUUGGUAAGGUAACGGCUUACCAAGGCUACGAUGGGUAGGGGUCCUGAGAGGGAGAUCCCCCACACUGGUACUGAGACACGGACCAGACUCCUACGGGAGGCAGCAGUGAGGAAUAUUGGUCAAUGGGCGCAAGCCUGAACCAGCCAUGCCGCGUGCAGGAAGACGGUCCUAUGGAUUGUAAACUGCUUUUAUACAGGAAGAAACCCUCCCACGUGUGGGAGCUUGACGGUACUGUAGAAUUAAGGAUCGGCUAACUCCGUGCCAGCAGCCGCGGU